rnacentral:rRNA from 1 species
GACGAACGCUGGCGGCGUGCUUAACACAUGCAAGUCGAACGGUGAAGCGCCUUCCUUUUUGGUGGGUGUGGAUGAGUGGCGAACGGGUGAGUAACACGUGAGUAACCUGCCCCCUUCUUCUGGAUAACCGCAUGAAAGUGUGGCUAAUACGGGAUAUUCUGGGUCUGUCGCAUGAUGGGUCUGGGAAAGAUAUUGUUUCGGUGGGGGAUGGGCUCGCGGCCUAUCAGCUUGUUGGUGGGGUGAUGGCCUACCAAGGCGGUGACGGGUAGCCGGCCUGAGAGGGUGGACGGUCACACUGGGACUGAGACACGGCCCAGACUCCUACGGGAGGCAGCAGUGGGGAAUAUUGCACAAUGGGCGCAAGCCUGAUGCAGCGACACCGCGUGAGGGAUGGAGGCCUUCGGGUUGUGAACCUCUUUCGCCAGUGAAGCAGGCCUGCCUCGUUUGUGGGUGGGUUGACGGUAGCUGGAUAAGAAGCGCCGGCUAACUACGUG